AUGAGAAGAAUUUUCCUCCUAAUAUCUAACCUGAACCUCCCCUAGUGCAACUUAAAGCCAUUCCUUCUCACCCUAUUGAUCUUAUUACCUCUCACAAGGUGCAUGGACAACUGUCUGAUAGUAUGAACACUGUCAGGAGCAAAGCAACACAGUGCAUGUCUUUGCUGAAUUGGAAGAAAGCAAAAAAAAAAAAAAGUACUUAUUAAUCAGGAAGCUGCCAGAAGGCAGUAUUUGAUUAUUGUGUCCAACCUUCUAUGUAUCACAGAAUUUCAGAUUUGCCAUGGAUCUCUUAUGAAUUUGGUUUGACUAAAGCAGAACUUCCUAGAGUUACCCAAUUUUGAUUUAUUUAAUUUCCUUUUGUGUUUAAACUUUUCAAGUAUCUUCAGCUAAGCUUACAGUGCCUGAGGGCAACUCCAGAGGAUAUGUAAAGACCUCCACUUGGUUACUAUUGGCUGUAAUGUUAUAAUUGUCUACCCUGGUGAUAUAGGACUAAAACAGAAGCUUGCCUACUAAUUGGUUAACUCUACCUUCUGCAAGGCACAUUUUAUUUAUUUUCAUUGAGUAUUGAAUUCAACCUAGUUGUUUAACACCUUUUAUUUAAGAGGCUUUGCAGUGAAAUAAAAGAAAUACUACAGAAAAAGCAGGAGAGGAGGAAAAUAACUCUUUACAGUAAUUGCUCACUAUCACUUCAAUUUUAUUAGCGGUGAAAACAACUUUUAAGCAUGUCAGAUACUCCUACUCCUACCUCUUCUGUUAAGGUAAGUAAACUGUAUUUUAAAAAUAUCUUCCUUCUUAAAUUGUGACAAAAUUGUUUCAGCACUAUAAAGUAUGGUCUUAUAUGGUGUCAUAUAAAAGGCAGCAUCACAGACUGCUCUAGUUCUGCAUCAACAGUGCAUCAUCUCCUUCCAGAUAAAGUCUUACAUGUGAGCUUAUCUUUGGAUAUGAAGUUGAAUGGAAUUUAAGUUCAUGGAGAAUCUUUAAUGCUUUGCUGAGUGAGAAUGCAUUUUAGUAGAUCCUUAAGUACUUUUCUCAAGAGGUUUUACCAUGCAUAGGACUUCUUAAAAGGCCCUUCUGAGUUAAAAAUACCUGAAGUUCUCUCUAAUGAGGAUGUAUAGCAUUCUACUCAAGGUAAUCAAGACUUAUGACAUCACAUAUUUUAAAAUUCUUAUUGGGAAAGACAGAAAAGUCUUACAGUUGAUCAAAUAAGGGAACUUUCGGAUGAAAGAUAGAAACAGAGGAGGAUUGCAGUACAGUAAAAGUGCAUAAGCAUCUCUUAGUGAACUUCUGCAUUUAUAAUUUUCUUUAUCUGUAACGUAUUUAACUAUAAGCUCUUUAAGGCAGGAAUUCAUCAUUCUGAGUAUAUAUGAGAAGCCUAAUGUGGUUCAGGGUGUGUUUUAAUAUUUAACAGCAGAUCAUUUUCUGCACAUGUUAUAGAGUUUAUUGUCAUGAUAUGUGUUGUUAUUUAUUACAUAUCUCAACGAUACAGUAGACGCAGACCAACAGGCAAUUUGGGCAAUUAAUCAUAGUAUUUUCCAAAGAUCUAAAACAUUCUGUGUUUUUGGAAGGUAUUUCUGAGGCUUUCCAGGUAGUGCACCAUUAACACAUGACGGGGCAUGUUUCAGAGGUUCAUUAACACAUGUUGUAGAUGUGCAGCCUCAUGCAUUCAGCCACCUGAGGCAUGCAUUAAUGGACCAUUAAAACAUGCCCAGGAGUGUCUUAAUGCUAUUACAGUACGGCUCUGCAAUUUUUAAUUCAGCUUUUUUAUAAAACGAUUCUUUUCCAAAAUACAAUUUUUACUAUAUUGCAAAGCCCCUACUCAGAAAAGAAAGGGUUAUUGUGACCUAAGAUUAAGAAAGCACCUGGAUAUGGAUAUAAAUACCCUUUUUUUCUACCAUUUUAAUACAUUUGAUUUUGAUUUUAUAUUGUUUUAUAAAUAGCAUAGUCCUAAGGCCUGAUUCACGUUUUUGCUGACCUAUCUUCCCACUGCUCAGGAAAUGUAAAAGAGUCUUAAAGUGCCAUAAAUGUAAAUUGCACCCCCAGACUACUUAGCUUAGUUGCUAAUUUCAAUAGACAUUUCUAGGUUUCUAGGUGAGUAACUCUUGAGCAGCUUUGGAUUUCUGUGGAGAAAAAAACAAAACUGGAAACCCAAGCAGUUUGACAAAUAAGUUUUGCUGUAGAAGGCUAAAACUAGGAAAGGGAAAAGGAGUUAUACCACAGGUGGACAAGCUGCUCACAUCUUCAGUAACGUGCUGUUACGGAUCGCAGUUUCACAUUCAGUUACACAUCUCAACCUUGGCUGAAUUCAUUCUAAAAUAAUCAACUAUCCAUUAUUAUUCUUAUUUUAUGAUUUCUGUACGCCAGUAAUACAAAUAAUGUUAUCUUUAUUAUAAUCCAGUGAACUACUGUCCUUGUUUUCAUAAUAAUUCCCUCAUGAGCACAAAGUGCAGGCUGUGGAGCAAACCACUUCCCCCCAUGUCAGCCUCCACUUCAUUUAAAAGUUGGGAGCAGCAUAAAGAGCUUGGAAGUGCUUGAACCAGCUGAAGAAAAUUUCUUUAAUGAUAGUGCCCUGAAAGAAGGCCAUAGGCCACACUUCAAAAAAUUCACCAUCUGACCCAAAACAAAAUAUUAUUUCAGGUCAAUUUUAACAUUGCUUUUAGAUUUUGCUUUUAUGUAUGUGUUUAUUACUGCUGGCCAUCUCAUUUAAUGUGUGACAGCCAGCAGUCAUGUUGAAAUGAUGCAUUGCAACACAUUGCUCAAAAAAGAUUGUAAUUAUGUAUCAGAGCAUUUUUUUUUCCAUGUUUCUUUCAAAAAAAGCUAUUUAAGAAAAUUCUUUUCCUCUUUCUAAAUUAGCUUUUUGACAGAAAAAGUUGCUGUGAAACUCCACAUUUGGACUGGUGUAGCUUAGAGCUGUGUAUUCAUCAUCAUUAUCAUAAUAAUAGCAUUACACCAUUAUUUUACAUACUCUUCCUCCUCUAACAUAUAUAAGUACAGUGCACUGUAAUUUGUAAAUACUGUGCUUUCAAUCAGCAGUGCUUGAGCAGGAGCUUCAGAAUAAGGUUGGGUCUAACCAGAGCAUCAUCACAGGCUAUAAUAUGCUCAUCGACCAUGGAUCCUCCAUGUUCACCAGGGCACAGGCAGAAUGUGGAAUGAUAUGUGGCUGAAUCAUUGGUGGGAAAUUGCAAGGAUCUGGGAAGCUCUUCUGAGAGCUGUGUUGUUUGUCAGUCUUGGAGCUGGAAGAUCUGAGCAAGAGCCUUAGUUCUAUGAUCCUUAACUUUAUCGCAAGUGGUGAGAUCUGAGGGCUUCUCUUCUGUGUUGUCCUUCCCCAUGCCAAUUUCAAGUGUGAGGAGUUCUUAAACAAGCUUUUUUGAAAGAAAGAAGAAGGGUGGUACUUGUUUUCAUUCAUAAGCAGAGCAAGGAGAUGUAACUGGAUGUAGUGCAAAACUUCUGUCAGCAAAUAAAAGGAAAAGGCUGUUGGAGUCAGUGCAUAUGUGCUGCUCAGUGAAUAUGGCAGCAUUGGUGGCUGUCACCUUCAGGUUGAGUUUGUAGUAAUUACGUUUUCCAGUCAUAUGGAAAUCCCUCAAAAUUACACAUGUGCAGUAUUUCUCAUGUUGUAUAUUUUCACAGGGAAUUCUAUAUACAGAUGAUCUGCAAAGAACUUGUAUUAAUUUAAAACUAUUUGAAGACAAUGUUUGCUCGGAGCAGGAAUUAGAAUCAGUACUAGUUAAGCACAUACAACUAGGAACUGUGGGAUAUAGAGUUUAAGCCUGUAGCUGCCGGAAUUAAAUCUAAUUCAUCGUUAAACACUUCAUCUUCCUCUACAGCGUAGGUGAAAGGUCAUACACUCCAAAAAUAUGAUCCAGAAAGGGAUAAUGUGGAGAGGGAAAUCCAGAUCUAAUAGGCUUUGUAAUUCCCUCUUCUGGGGAGAGCUAUGUCACUGAUACAAUUUGGACUCUCUUCUGGCAAGUAGUGAUAGUAGCUGAUGUUAAACUUUCAGCAAUCACUGGCUUUGCUGAUGUGUCAGGCCAAAAAAAAAAAAAAAAACCUACGUUGUUUUGAGAAAUUUGUUUUGGCGAUGCAGACCAACAAACAAAAUGAUGAUAUUUUCUUCUAGAAAGAAAGUGAAUUGGUGUUUAAACAUAAAUUCU